rnacentral:rRNA from 1 species
GAUGAACGCUGGCGGCGUGCCUAAUACAUGCAAGUCGAGCGAAUGGAUUAAGAGCUUGCUCUUAUGAAGUUAGCGGCGGACGGGUGAGUAACACGUGGGUAACCUGCCCAUAAGACUGGGAUAACUCCGGGGAACCGGGGCUAAUACCGGAUAACAUUUUGAACCGCAUGGUUCGAAAUUGAAAGGCGGCUUCGGGUGUCACUUAUGGAUGGACCCGCGUCGCAUUAGCGUAGUUGGUGAGGUAACGGCUCACAAAGGCAACGAUGCGUAGCGGACCGGGGAGGGUGAUCGGCCACACUGGGACUGAGACCCGGCCCAGACUCCUCCGGGAGGCAGCAGUCGGGAAUCCUCCGCGAUGGACUAAAGUCUGACGGAGCAACGCCGCGUGAGUGAUGAAGGCUUUCGGGUCGUAAAACUCUGUUGUUAGGGAAGAACAAGUGCUAGUUGAAUAAGCUGGCACCUUGACGGUACCUAACCAGAAAGCCACGGCUAACUACGUGCCAGCCGCCGCCGUAA